UGGUGGAGUGAUUUGUCUGCUUAAUUGCGAUAACGAACGAGACCUUAACCUGCUAAAUAGCUAGGCUAGCUUUGGCUGGUCGCCGGCUUCUUAGAGGGACUAUCGGCUCAAGCCGAUGGAAGUUUGAGGCAAUAACG
rnacentral:rRNA from 1 species